UACAGGGGGGGCAAGCGUUGUUCGGAAUUACUGGGCGUAAAGGGCCAGUAGGCGGCCAACUAAGUCACACGUGAAAUCCCCAGGCUUAACCUGGGAACUGCGUGUGAUACUGGAUGGCUUGAAUUCGGGAGAGGGAUGCAGAAUUCCAGGUGUAGCGGUGAAAUGCGUAGAUAUCAGGAGGAACACCUGUGGCGAAAGCGGCUCACUGGACCACUAACUGACGCUGAUGCACGAAAGCUAGGGGAGCAAACAGG
rnacentral:rRNA from 1 species